AGGAUGAACGCUGGCGGUCUGCUUAACACAUGCAAGUCGAACGGAGUAGCAAUACUUAGUGGCGGACGGGUGAGUAACGCGUGAGAAUCUACCUUCAGGACGGAGACAACAGUUGGAAACGACUGCUAACCCCCGAUGUACCGAAAGGGCAAAUAUUUAUAGCCUGAAGAAGAGCUCGCGUCCGAUUAGCUAGUUGGAGAGGUAAUAGCCUACCAAGGCGACGACGGGUAGCCGGCCUGAGAGGGCGACCGGCCACACUGGGACUGAGACACGGCCCAGACUCCUACGGGAGGCAGCAGUGGGGAAUAUUGCGCAAUGGGCGAAAGCCUGACGCAGCGACGCCGCGUGGGGGAUGAAGGCCUUCGGGUUGUAAACCCCUUUCAGCAGGGACGAAGCGAGAGUGACGGUACCUGCAGAAGAAGCGCCGGCUAACUACGUGCCAGCAGCCGC
rnacentral:rRNA from 1 species